GCCAGAUUUCAUUGUUCACUACUACAUAACCCAUCUUCAGUACAAGAUCUAAACUACAUAAACCCAUAUCAUUACAGGAGGAACAUAGAGCUACGAAGGCGAAGGAAGAGCCCCUCCCCUUGGACGCCCUUUCAACGGGAGCCGGAAGAAGCGGGGAUCCUGCAGCGCCUGCCUCUUCCCCUUCGGCCCAAGAAAGGCGCCUGGAGGAGAGAAGCGGGGCUUUUGGGCCGCCUCCUGGAUCGGGACCUGGACGGAGGAAGGGGUGAGACUCAGCUGAUUGCUCUUUGCUGUUUUUGGACCCAAAAACCAAUAACCAAAUCCCAGAUCCCUCCAACAUUUGCAAGGAAGGGGUGAGACUGAGCUGAGUUGUCUUUGCUGAUUUGGGGCCGACAAACAAAAAGCCAAAUCCAAGAUCCCUCCAGGAUUUGCAAGGUAAGUGAGAUUUCAAGAGGUGGCUUAAGUAGCCUUGCCACACACACACUCCUCUCAAUUUCCCCGACCCAGCAGGGAUUUGAAUCCAGAUCUCCUGGUUUCCAGACUGGUACUCCAUUCACAGCACCACACUUCUUCUUUGAACAUGUGCAGAGUGUUCCUAUUUGAUGGUAUGGUUUUCUUUGCAUCUUAUUUAAGUGUUAUUUUUUAAGAUUUCAAUCCUGCUCACCCCAACUUCAGACUCC
rnacentral:lncRNA from 1 species